AGAGUUUGAUCCUGGCUCAGAACGAACGCUGGCGGCGUGCUUAACACAUGCAAGUCGAGUGCGCGGUUGUAGCAAUACAACUGGCGCACGGUGCACGGGUGCGUAACACGUGGGUAACCUGCCCUUUGGUGGGGAAUAACUCCGCGAAAGCGGAGCUAAUUCCGCAUAAGAUCCGCAAGGAUGAAAGCCGCAAGGCGCCGAAGGAGGGGCCCGCGCCCGAUUAGCUAGUUGGUAGGGUAACGGCCUACCAAGGCUUUGAUCGGUAGCUGGUCUGAGAGGAUGAUCAGCCACACUGGAACUGAGACACGGUCCAGACUCCUACGGGAGGCAGCAGUGGGGAAUCUUGCACAAUAGGCGAAAGCCUGAUGCAGCGACGCCGCGUGGGGGAUGAAGCAUUUCGGUGUGUAAACCCCUUUCGAUCCGGACGAAACCCCGCAAGGGAUUGACGGUACGGAUAUAAGAAGCCCCGGCUAACUACGUGCCAGCAGCCGCGGUAAU
rnacentral:rRNA from 1 species